GAUGAACGCUAGCGGCGUGCCUAACACAUGCAAGUCGAACGGUGUACCCGAAACGGAGACUUCGGUUGAAGUUUUGGACUACCUAGUGGCGGACGGGUGAGUAACGCGUGAGCAAUCUGCCUCACAGAGGGGGAUAACACAGAGAAAUUUGUGCUAAUACCGCAUAAUGUAGUGAAGAGACAUCUCUUUGCUACCAAAGAUUUAUCGCUGUGAGGAUGAGCUCGCGUCUGAUUAGCUAGUUGGUGGGGUAACGGCCUACCAAGGCGACGAUCAGUAGCCGGCAUGUGAGGUGGAACGGCCACAUUGGGACUGGGACACGGCCCAGACUCCUACGGGAGGCAGCAGUGGGGAAUAUUGCGCAAUGGGGGAAACCCUGACGCAGCAACGCCGCGUGAAGGAAGAAGGCCUUCGGGUUGUAAACUUUUGUCUUUAGGGAAGAUAGUGACGGUACCUAAGGAGGAAGCCACGGCUAACUACGUGCCAGCAGCCGCCGUAAUAC
rnacentral:rRNA from 1 species